AGGACGAACGCUGGCGGCGUGCUUAACACAUGCAAGUCGAGCGGUAAGGCCCCUUCGGGGGUACACGAGCGGCGAACGGGUGAGUAACACGUGAGUAACCUGCCCUUCACAUUGGGAUAACCCCGGGAAACCGGGACUAAUACCGAAUACGACCGUUGCAGGCAUCUGCAGUGGUGGAAAGCUCCGGCGGUGAAGGAUGGACUCGCGGCCUAUCAGCUAGUUGGUGGGUAAAGCCCACCAAGGCGACGACGGGUAGCCGGCCUGAGAGGGUGACCGGCCACACUGGGACUGAGACACGGCCCAGACUCCUACGGGAGGCAGCAGUGGGGAAUAUUGGACAAUGGGCGAAAGCCUGAUCCAGCAACGCCGCGUGAGGGAUGACGGCCUUCGGGUGUAAACCUCUUUCAGCAGGGACGAAGCGAGAGUGACGUACCUGCAAAAGAGCACGGCCAACUACGUGCCAGCAGCCGAC
rnacentral:rRNA from 1 species